AUUGAACGCUGGCGGCAUGCCUUACACAUGCAAGUCGAACGGUAACGGGCCUUCGGGUGCCGACGAGUGGCGAACGGGUGAGUAAUACAUCGGAACGUGCCCGAUCGUGGGGGAUAACGAGGCGAAAGCUUUGCUAAUACCGCAUACGAUCUACGGAUGAAAGCAGGGGACCGUAAGGCCUUGCGCGGACGGAGCGGCCGAUGGCAGAUUAGGUAGUUGGUGGGAUAAAAGCUUACCAAGCCGACGAUCUGUAGCUGGUCUGAGAGGAUGAUCAGCCACACUGGGACUGAGACACGGCCCAGACUCCUACGGGAGGCAGCAGUGGGGAAUUUUGGACAAUGGGCGCAAGCCUGAUCCAGCCAUGCCGCGUGCAGGAUGAAGGCCUUCGGGUUGUAAACUGCUUUUGUACGGAACGAAAAGCCUUCCUUUAAUACAGGAGGGUCAUGACGGUACCGUAAGAAUAAGCACCGGCUAACUACGUG
rnacentral:rRNA from 1 species